CUGAGGCAGUAUUUCAGCCUAAAGUAUUUUUGUUCAUGCCUAUUAAUGGCGAUCAGUGAGGCGGAACAUUUCUCUGUGUCGUUUCACUCGGACCCGUUUUAGUGACGGACCACCAGCAAAAUCUCCGCUAGAAAAGGCCAGUUUUUCUAAGCUGUUGACUACCCAAGUUAUAGUUAUAAGUUUCUUAAGCCUUAUUAACAACCUCUCACGCCUGUAUAUGCAGCUAAUAAGGGUCCGGGGUGGCAUGUUUCCUUUUUCCACAGGGAGCAACUGUGAGCAGAGUGCAGAGGGCCUAGGUGUGACUCAUCAGGCUCGUUAAGGAGUGCUCUUAAGGAGCAUGAUGUCGACUGCUCGUCGCCUGAGUGUCCCUACCAGUGUGAUCAUCUCCAUGGUUAUGCCUCUAGCUCCUUGAUCUUGCUCCUUGCUCCUAGUUCUCGCUCCUAGUUCUCGCUCCUAGUUCUCGCUCCUAGUUCUCGCUCCUAGUUCUCGCCUUGCACAUCCACGCCGCGCUCUUCAGAUUCCUCUGAUUACUUCCACCGAUCACCACCAAGAUCCACCCCGUUCUGGCUGAACUCCUCACGCCCCGCCACUGCCGCCCCGCUCCGUGUUUCUGGCUCCGAUCAUCCCGCUCUACCUCACCGCAGCUCCUCCAAUGAACACUCCUAACUCAUUCUGGACAUCUGACUUGGUUUUUCUGCAUGUGGGUCAAAUUAGUCGUUACAGCGAUGACACUUCCACGUUUGGCAAUUUUUCCUUUUUUUUUUUGCCUUAUGUGUAUCAAUGGCAGUAUCUCUGUCCUGCUAUCUCCAGGCGAUUCUCCCCGUUCAAACAUCACACUGUCCGCUGCCCAAUGUGUUCCCCUCAUCUCAACCAUGACAUAAUACUUGUGGUCAGAGGGAACAACCCUCCUGUGAGUGCUUGUCCCAGAGGUGGAAAAAAAAGAGACCAAAAGCAGGAGAGGAGAAAACGACAUCACCCACUGCAGACUCAGCGAGGUGAAUGCACUUUGACUAAAUCUCCCCCUUAGCUACUUAUUAUUAUUCAUAAACUUCAAACUCUGCUCUACUGCAGCUCUGAAAUGGACUAUAAAUCUGUGGCUUGCAUGAGGAGAGUCAACAAACUGAGCUUUUUUUUUUUUUAGGCUGGGAUUUUGUUUUAGAUCGUUCCUGGCAACAUUUGGUCCUCCAAAACAAUCCAUCCUUAGCAUGUGGCUGCUCUAAACACAAAUACGAGGGGGAGAAUAUCAAGUAAAGAAUCACAGCAUACGUUGUCCACUUAAUGGCAAACAGAUUGUUGAAAUGAUGGAAAGGGGAGCCCAUCUCAGCCCACGGGGCCGGCACAGCUUUGUUGCUACUGAGCUAUGCUCAGCUUUGACACGUUUGAUCAGACGACUGACUGCGAGUGUACACACUUUGAAAACAAAACGCAUGCUGGAGAUCACAGCAGCCCUCUGUGUUUUGUAGUACAAGAAUGCAUAUUGCGCUUAUGCAUUAUUCAUGCAACAUGCCAUUAGUGGCGACAGGUAGAGAAAGGACCAAGGGGUUUGAUAAAUUUUUCAGAUGAUGAUGAUGAUGCUGGAUUUGCAUGUGCGGGAGGUGACAUUGUGUUUGUUCUAGAAAAUGACUUGGAUGAAGACUCAUGUCCAAGGUUUGUGCUGUUACAAAAGAACUGCACAAAACAUUUGCUUCGGCAAUGCUUCUGGAAUUUGUGGAAAUUAAUUUCCUCAUCUAUUCUGAACUUGUGCACUGGAAUUCUACCCCUAUGAAAGAAAAUAUUCUGCUUGAAUUACAUUAUCUUUUUGUAGGAGCAAUUUUUUUUUUACUGUACUUAAAUUAACUUAUUGUACUAUUAAAUGUUGCUGUAACAUUUUAAGAAUUUGCAGGUGGUAAAGACAGUAUAAUAAAAUCCAUAUAACAUUUUUUUUUUA